rnacentral:rRNA from 1 species
GAUGAACGCUGGCGGCGUGCCUAAUACAUGCAAGUCGAGCGAACAGACGAGGAGCUUGCUCCUCUGACGUUAGCGGCGGACGGGUGAGUAACACGUGGAUAACCUACCUAUAAGUCUGGGAUAACUUCGGGAAACCGGAGCUAAUACCGGAUAAUAUAUUGAACCGCAUGGUUCAAUAGUGAAAGACGGUUUUGCUGUCACUUAUAGAUGGAUCCGCGCCGCAUUAGCUAGUUAGUAAGGUAACGGCUUACCAAGGCAACGAUGCGUAGCCGACCUGAGAGGGUGAUCGGCCACACUGGAACUGAGACACGGUCCAGACUCCUACGGGAGGCAGCAGUAGGGAAUCUUCCGCAAUGGGCGAAAGCUUGACGGAGCAACGCCGCGUGAGUGAUGAAGGUCUUCGGAUCGUAAAACUCUGUUAUUAGGGAAGAACAAAUGUGUAAGUAACUAUGCACGUCUUGACGGUACCUAAUCAGAAAGCCACGGCUAACUACGUG